GUCGCCGCCGGGCGACGGUAGUUGGAUCUCGCUGGAGACGAGGUCGACGAUGCCGUCGAGGAUCUCGUCCUUGUUGGCGACG
rnacentral:tRNA from 1 species